rnacentral:rRNA from 1 species
GGAGAAAAGCAGGGGAUCGCAAGACCUUGCGCUCAUUGAGCGGCCGAUGCCUGAUUAGCUAGUUGGUGAGGUAAAGGCUUACCAAGGCGACGAUCAGUAGCUGGUCUGAGAGGACGACCAGCCACACUGGGACUGAGACACGGCCCAGACUCCUACGGGAGGCAGCAGUGGGGAAUUUUGGACAAUGGGGGAAACCCUGAUCCAGCCAUGCCGCGUGAGUGAAGAAGGCCUUCGGGUUGUAAAGCUCUUUCAGCCAGAACGAAACGGUCACGGCUAAUACCUGUGACUACUGACGGUACCGGAAGAAGAAGCACCGGCUAACUACGUGCCAGCAGCCGCGGUAAUACGUAGGGUGCGAGCGUUAAUCGGAAUUACUGGGCGUAAAGCGUGCGCAGGCGGUUUUGUAAGUCAGAAGUGAAAUCCCCGAGCUUAACCUGGGAACUGCGUUGAAACUAGAAAGCUAGAAGGGC